GAUUCCUCCACCCAGAAGCCCUUAAAAUGCAGCUUUGUUUUAAGCCUUCUUGAAGAUUUGGGCUAGAUCUAGAAAAGAACCUCACCACGGAGGAUGUGCAAAGUACAACACGUGACCCCGGAGACGGAAGCUCUUCUCUACCUCCGUAAAGAUGAUCUCUGAUGAACAGACAUGAUCAUGCCUGGAGAACAGGGAUGGACAGUCCCGCUUCUGAAAGACCCUGUCUGGCUGAUGAUUCAUGGUGCGCCGGGCAGACCCCAGGCCAAGAGACCCCACCCACAGUACCUGAGUGCUCAGCUGGGAACCAGACCAGACCUCAAAACAGACCAGCCCCCCAGCAUUGACCUGGAUGCCUGCCACAGCCUCCUCCCUGGUCUCCGGCCUCCCACCUCUGCUCCUCGGUCUCCUCUACCCAGCCAGUAACUGCAGAGAGCACUAAAGCACAGUCCUGGCAUCUCACCCCCUUAACCCUGGCCACGGCUUCCCAGUGCCUCCAAGAUAAAGCACCAACACCUGAGGACAGCAGUUCGCUGGACUCCACGCUGAACGUGCCAUGCUCCAUUGCCCCGUGAGUAACUCCAUGCUCUUGCCGGUUUCACACGGCCUCUCAGAGCUGGAGCCUUUGUUCAGGAGCCCUGGGCAGCUUUCAGGAAGCUCUUGGGCUCAUCAGCUUCCUCUGGCUGAAGCCGCCCCAGUGGAAUCAUGGGGAUUUCUUACUUUGAAGGUGGGGCCACCCGCAGACUGUAACCGGCUGGUUCAAGAUCAAGGACUUCCCCAGGCCACCUGCCUCAGAGGCAAGAAAGGCUCAGCUGAGUCCCAGACACUCCUCGCUGUGGCCCCUCCUUCCUCCCUGCUGGGCAGGCCCCCCUCAAUUCUGUUUGCCAGCAGGGCCUAGUAACACUGAAAGACGAAAAGGGAAAUAAAAUAAACACAAUUAAUAGGCUAAAGGUUACUGAAUAAAGUGGCAGCAGUAAAUAAA
ensembl:lncRNA LINC00885 long intergenic non-protein coding RNA 885